GGUCUGGCCUGCCCAAUGAGGGGUUGAAUGGCUGCGGUAUUCUAACCGUGCUAAGGUAGCAUAAUCAUUUGUCUUUUAAUUGAGGGCUUGUAUGAAAGGUCGGAUGAAGUAAUAACUUUCUUUAAUUUAAUUUAUGAAUUUAAUUUUUAGGUUAAAAAGCUAAAAUGUUUUUAUAGGACGAGAAGACCCUAUAGAUCUUUACAGUUUGUUAGGUAUAAUGAUUUGGUGAAUUAUUUAUUAUUAUUCAAUGAUUUUGUUUGAUUGGGGUGAUUGUGGAAUUCUUUUAACUUCCAUUAUUCUUUUUCAAGGGUUAUUGUUUUUUUUGAUCCAUUAGUAAUGAUUAGAAGAUUAAGUUACCUUAGGGAUAACAGCGUAAUUUCUUCGGAGAGUUCAUAUUGAUGAGGAAGUUUGCGACCUCGAUGUUGGAUUAAAAUUAGUGUUAGGUGUAGCAGCUUAAUAACUAGGUCU
rnacentral:rRNA from 1 species